UUUCGAGUGAUUACACAUAAGCCGACAGAAAAUGACAGAAGGAGGCAUCCAGCAUAUUGUGUCAAACAUAGACAGCGUUGCCCUUCACAAUAGCCUGUGCAGUCGUCACUCACGAAAUUAUGUCGAAAAAACGUCCGUAGAAGUCUGCAAUAUAAUGACACAUCUGGGAUACGGAGAGGAAAUAAGACGGAGAAGAAUUUUGAAGUUCAGGGAGACGGAUAGUAUAGUAAAUUCAAAAGUUUAUCACAACUUAAUAACCACUGCUGGAAGUUAGGCUGAAGGGCCCACCUGAAGCAACGAAAGCGACAUUGACAAUUUAUUUGUACAGAAAGAUGUCCUCUGUGUUGAAGCGGGAGUUGAUCUACACAACAUAGCAGACGCUAUAGAAGUAUACAGGAUGGAUACACGUGCAUACCCAGGGCACUGCAGGAUGUUACUGGAGAGACAAGGUUCUAAUCGUUCAAAUCAAAUUCAGAAUGCUCUGUUUGAUGACGGACAAGGAAACGCUAUACUUAGCAGUGGUUGUUAUCUUGAUGAAUAUGCGAAAACUCAGACCCUACGGGGUCGACGUGUGGGUCCGUCACUACCGAUUUCAUUAGGACCGACUAUUAAUAUGGACUUUGUUCACGCAAUACGGUGUCAAUGUCCAAGUAUCUUGCAGCGCUGGGCUGAACGACCUCGACAUUUGCCGGCGCCGGAUGUCGUCCUGAAAGUCGUAUCAUUGGGAUCUGUCGUUACCCCGGUAAGUUUUAAAGGAAGUGAGUUCAAAUUCUUUGAGUGGAGGAUUUGCUUUAACACGGGUGAAACAGAACUCAUUAACAAUAUGAACGUCAAUCAGACAAAAGUGUAUGUUAUUUUGAAAAUGAUUAUACGAGAUGUAUUAAAGCCAAAGAAGAAAGAACUAACAUCUUACAUGCUGAAAAAUAUAAUAUUUUGGCAAGCUGAAAGCAAUACCCCCGCAAUGUUUCAAGACAGGAAUUAGAUUCACUGGUUACAUGACGCACUGAGAUCACUCAGAACUGUCAUAUCCAAUACACAGCUUCAUAUUACAUGAUUUCUGAACGAAAUCUGAUGGCAGCGUGUGGAUAGCAGGAAGUACAGCAGCGUAAAUGGGUAGCAGAUAUCACGGAAAUGCUUAAGGAAGGUCCGAGGGUGAUACUGAGAUUGCCGAGGAUACGACAAGCCAUUAUCGGUCCAUCCAGAGCCGCUGCUGUGGUUCAGCAGGAAAAGGAUGGAGCUGGAGAUGCUGGACCUGGAGAGUCAUAUCAAAUGCACUCAAUGUUGUUUUGAGUUCGGGGAUUGUGAAAUCAUCGUGCAGGAGAUAUACAGACGCACAGAAGAGAUAGAAAUAGAGGUCUGUCUACGGAUGAAUAUGGAAGGCAAUAUUGUUAAUGACCGCGCUAAUAUUAAGAACAUAAUUCUCCUGUAGUCCUGAAUGUGAUUUCAUUUAAUCAUGCAUGUUGCAGCUGACAUUAGUUGUUCCAGACCAUUUAUUUUAAUGACUCAUAAUACAAUAGAAAAUAUUCUCAUACAAACAUAUUUAUUGUUACAAAUAAUGUUUAAAA